UUGGAGGGCAAGUCUGGUGCCAGCAGCCGCGGUAAUUCCGGCUCCAAUAGCGUAUAUUAAAGUUGUUGUGGUUAAAAGCUCGUAGUUGAACCUUGGGCCUGGCUGGCCGGUCCGCCUCACCGCGUGUACUGGUCCGGCCGGGCCUUUCCCUCUGUGGAACCCCAUGCCCUUCACUGGGUGUGGCGGGGAAACAGGACUUUUACUGUGAAAAAAUUAGAGUGCUCCAGGCAGGCCUAUGCUCGAAUACAUUAGCAUGGAAUAAUAGAAUAGGACGUGUGG
rnacentral:rRNA from 1 species